AUUGAACGCUGGCGGCAGGCCUAACACAUGCAAGUCGAGCGAGCGGCGGACGGGUGAGUAAUGUAUGGGGACUGCCCGAUAGAGGGGGAUAACUACUGGAAACGGUAGCUAAUACCGCAUACUAUCGGAUAACCCAUAUGGGAUUAGCUAGUAGGUGAGGUAAUGGCUCACCUAGGCGACGAUCCCUAGCUGGUCUGAGAGGAUGAUCAGCCACAGUGGGACUGAGAAACGGCCCAGACUCCUACGGAGGCAGCAUUGGGGAAUAUUGCACAAUGGGCGGAAGCCUGAGGCAUCCAUGCCGCGUGUAUGAAGAAGGCCCUAGGUUUGUAAAGUUCUUUCAGUCGGGAGGCGUUACCGUCAGAGUAAGCACCGGCUAACUCCGGGCCAGCAGCCGCGGUAAUAC
rnacentral:rRNA from 1 species